CCGGCACACUGACUUGAUUGGCCUCUGGGGCGACUGCAAUAUAAAUAUUAAAUACUAGUAACAAAGCAUACUUCUAAAUAUGUUUAAGGAUGAAACAGAGACUCCCUGCACCACCUCCCCAUAAAAAUACACGAGAGAGACCCAACCCAAAUAUCCUGUAGCCCAGUUUGAGAUGCAGGAAUUUGAAGAUCCCGUAUGAAUCCUCUCUAAGGCCUUGUCUACACCAGAAAGACUUCAGGGAAAUGAUGAAAAAGGGUCAAGACACCUGGGUAUCCUUUGAUAUUCACAAAUGAGAGAAUAAACUAAUUAGUUCAUGCAAACUUUCUGCACUCUACAUAGAAACCAUUCCUAUCACACUUCAAAUCUUC